AAAAGCAUUUUUGGGGGUCUGAU
rnacentral:piRNA from 1 species